GUGCUUAACACAUGCAAGUCACGGGGGCUCCGCAAGGAGCAACCGGCGAACGGGUGCGUAACACGUGAGGAACCUGCCGCGUUCCGGGGGAUAGCCGGCCCAACGGCCGGGUAAUACCGCAUACGCUUGGUUGGGGGAGUCCCCCGGCCAAGGAAACCUCCGGGGGAACGCGAGGGUCUCGCGGCCUAUCAGCUAGUUGGCGGGGUCACGGCCCACCAAGGCGACGACGGGUAGCUGGUCUGAGAGGAUGGCCAGCCACAUUGGGACUGAGAAACGGCCCAG
rnacentral:rRNA from 1 species